rnacentral:rRNA from 1 species
GAUGAACGCUGGCGGCGUGCCUAAUACAUGCGAGUCGAGCGAACGGACGAGAAGCUUGCUUCUCUGAUGUUAGCGGCGGACGGGUGAGUAACACGUGGAUAACCUACCUAUAAGACUGGGAUAACUUCGGAAAACCGGAGCUAAUACCGGAUAAUAUUUUGAACCGCAUGGUUCAAAAGUGAAAGACGGUCUUGCUGUCACUUAUAGAUGGAUCCGCGCUGCAUUAGCUAGUUGGUAAGGUAACGGCUUACCAAGGCAACGAUGCAUAGCCGACCUGAGAGGGUGAUCGGCCACACUGGAACUGAGACACGGUCCGGACUCCUACGGGAGGCAGCAGUAGGGAAUCUUCCGCAAUGGGCGAAAGCCUGACGGAGCAACGCCGCGUGAGUGAUGAAGGUCUUCGGAUCGUAAAACUCUGUUAUUAGGGAAGAACAUAUGUGUAAGUAACUGUGCACAUCUUGACGGUACCUAAUCAGAAAGCCACGGCUAACUACGUG